rnacentral:rRNA from 1 species
CGUGCCAGCAGCCGCGGUAAUACGGAGGGUGCGAGCGUUAAUCGGAAUUACUGGGCGUAAAGCGCGCGUAGGCGGUUUGUUAAGUCGGAUGUGAAAGCCCCGGGCUCAACCUGGGAAUUGCACCCGAUACUGGCCGACUGGAGUGCGAGAGAGGGAGGUAGAAUUCCACGUGUAGCGGUGAAAUGCGUAGAUAUGUGGAGGAAUACCGGUGGCGAAGGCGGCCUCCUGGCUCGACACUGACGCUGAGGUGCGAAAGCGUGGGGAGCAAACAAGAUUAGAUACCCUGGUAGUCCACGCCGUAAACGAUGUCUACUAGCCGUUGGGGAACUUGAGUCCUUGGUGGCGCAGUUAACGCGAUAAGUAGACCGCCUGGGGAGUACGGCCGCAAGGUUAAAACUCAAAUGAAUUGACGGGGGCCCGCACAAGCGGUGGAGCAUGUGGUUUAAUUCGAUGCAACGCGAAGAACCUUACCAGGCCUUGACAUCCUUGGAAUUCUGCAGAGAUGCGGGAGUGCCUUCGGGAAUCAAGUGACAGGUGCUGCAUGGCUGUCGUCAGCUCGUGUCGUGAGAUGUUGGGUUAAGUCCCGUAACGAGCGCAACCCUUGUCCUUAGUUGCCAGCGAUUCGGUCGGGAACUCUAAGGAGACUGACGGUGACAAACCGUAGGAAGGUGGGGACGACGUCAAGUCAUCAUGGCCCUUACGGCCUGGGCUACACACGUGCUACAAUGGAACGCACAGAGGGCAGCGAACCCGCGAGGGGGAGCGAAUCCCACAAAACGUUUCGUAGUCCGGAUCGGAGUCUGCAACUCGACUCCGGAAGUCGGAAUCGCU